rnacentral:rRNA from 1 species
AACGAACGCUGGCGGCAUGCCUAACACAUGCAAGUCGAACGGGAUCCUAGCUUGCUAGGUGAGAGUGGCGGACGGGUGAGUAACACGUGGGAAUCUGCCUUUUGGUUCGGGAUAACCGCGGGAAACUGCGGCUAAUACCGAAUGCCCUCGAGAGAGGAAAGAUUUAAUCGCCAGAAGAGGAGCCCGCGUCCGAUUAGGUAGUUGGGUGGGGGUAAAAGGCCUAACCAAGCCGACGAUCGGUAGCUGGUCUGAGAGGAUGAUCAGCCACACUGGGACUGAGAUACGGCCCAGACUCCUACGGGAGGCAGCAGUGGGGAAUAUUGGACAAUGGGGGCAACCCUGAUCCAGCAAUGCCGCGUGAGUGAU